rnacentral:rRNA from 1 species
AGUGAACGCUGGCGGUAGGCCUAACACAUGCAAGUCGAACGGCAGCACAGUAAGAGCUUGCUCUUACGGGUGGCGAGUGGCGGACGGGUGAGGAAUACAUCGGAAUCUACUUUUUCGUGGGGGAGAACGUAGGGAAACUUACGCUAAUACCGCAUACGACCUACGGGUGAAAGCAGGGGAUCUUCGGACCUUGCGCGAUUGAAUGAGCCGAUGUCGGAUUAGCUAGUUGGCGGGGUAAAGGCACACCAAGGCGACGAUCCGUAGCUGGUCUGAAAGGAUGAUCAGCCACACUGGAACUGAGACACGGUCCAGACUCCUACGGGAGGCAGCAGUGGGGAAUAUUGGACAAUGGGCGCAAGCCUGAUCCAGCCAUACCGCGUGGGUGAAGAAGGCCUGCGGGUUGUAAAGCCCUUUUGUUGGGAAAGAAAAGCAGCAGGUUAAUACCCCGCUGUUCUGACGGUACCCAAAGAAUAAGCACCGGCUAACUUCGUG